UACGGAAGGGGGCUAGCGUUGCUCGGAAUGACUGGGCGUAAAGGGCGCGUAGGCGGUUUGGUUAGUUAGGCGUGAAAUUCCUGGGCUCAACCUGGGGGCUGCGCUUAAUACAGCCAGACUAGAGUGUGAAAGAGGGUCGUGGAAUUCCCAGUGUAGAGGUGAAAUUCGUAGAUAUCGGGAGGAACACCGGUGGCGAAGGCGGUUCUCUGGGCCUGUACUGACGCUGAGGAGCGAAAGCGUGGGGAGCGAACAGG
rnacentral:rRNA from 1 species